rnacentral:lncRNA from 1 species
AUGGAGCCUCCUUUCCUCUCUGCCUGCUGGGACCUGCCUGCACCCUGCCUGAACAACUGCAGCUCUGCCUGCAGCUCUGCUUGCACCCCUGCCCGCUGGGACCUGCCUGAUGAGCUGCAGCCCUGCCUGUCCCCUGCCUGCCCAGGGGCGGCUUUGGCAGCUCCCAGUCCCGCACUGGACCUGCUGCCCGUGGGUUUCCACCACCGCCUGGAGCUUUGCAGUCCCUUUCCCCCAGGCCGGGGAGCGGAGCCGCCUCUUCCCCGGGGAUCCCAGGGGCCAAACGGGGCCAGUCCCCGGCCGGGACCCCCCUCCUCUUCCCCGCGGGCUGCCGUUACCGAGCACAGGAAGGACGCCCGGGGCUGGCGAGUGAGCCCCGGGGCGCGGGGGGGGAGUGAGGAAGAGUCACCGACUUCCUCCCCCGCCGAGGUGACGGUGGGGCGAUGCUCGGUGGCCGCCUCGGGGCAGAGCCCGACGGGUCGGACGCGGCGGGGGAGGCGCGGUGACCGCCCCACGGCCCCACCGAGCGCCGUCCCGCCCCAGUUCCUCCGCCGAGGCCGGGGCCGGUCCCAGCACCGGGAGGAGAUGGUCCCCGACCGCCGCCGCUGGAGCCUGGGCUCCGUCCUGCUGCUGCUCGGGGGAACCCUGGCUGUCCGGGUCCAAAUCCAUCAGGAUUCGGUCAAUGGCACCGUGGGACAGUCCGUGCUCCUGAACAUCUCCUACAUGUUUGAUGAGGCCUCUCGCUUCCCACUGUCCAUUUGCUGGAUGUUCCAUAACUCCUCAAAGGUGAUCCUCACCUGCGCAGUGCAGAACUGCUCCCUGGAUGCUGGGGGGGCUCCCAGCAACUGCUCUGCAACAUGUUUCCCCCCCCCCCCGAAACGUGGCCGUGCUGAGCUCUUCCCCGAUAACGGGUCCCUGCUGCUGCGGGACCUGAAGCUCAGUGACAGCGGGGUUUAUGUUGUUACCUUCAAAGAGCCAUCCCAGAGCUGGCCCAUCACCCUGGUCGUGCACGAGCAGCGUUUCCCCCCUGAGCAUCCUGAUCCAUCAGUCAGCCCGGGUGAAGAGCACGCCCUUCACUGGACAAUUGGAGUUUCUUCCUCAGUCGCCCUCCUGCUGCUGCUCCUGCUCUUCUGCUACCUCAGGCACCUGGCUCAGCAGAAGAAGAGGAGAAUCAUCAAACAGCAGCAGGUCUCAGGUGUGGAGGAGCCCCACAUGGAAAGCACUGUGGUGGGGGGCAUGGCGACCAUUUACGCCAGAAUCGGAGACAGCUUUGAACAGCCACAGACCAACAGACCAACAUCAGAGACUGUGUACACAUCCAUAACCCACCCUGAGCCUUCAGGACUGGACACAGCACUCUACCAUGUGGUGGUUUGACUGUGGGAGCCGCCUCAAAGAGGACCUUUGCAGAAGGUGGUCGUGCUUCAAAGCAGAGAGGAUGCCUUUGUGGCUGAUGCCCUCGGUGCUGCCCCUUCCAAGCCUGGGCUGAGGGGGAUUUGGAGCAACAGAGCACAGAAAUGCAAUCAUUUCCUCGAACUGCCAGCCCUCUCGAAUUUGAGGAAACAGCUGGUCUUGGUUUCUUCUUGAGGCUUUUUGAGAGCACAAAGAGACUCGGUGUGUGAUGGGUGAGAUGGAGGAGAAAGAUGCUCAAGGCAACGGCAAACCCACAGUUCACCCAUGGGAAGGUUGUUUCCAUAGACUCCCCUUUGCUUGAGGGGUAACAGAGAGCAUUAAAUGGAGUUUAAUCACGUGUCCCAGGUUCACUACCAGUGGUCUUGUCACAUUAAAAGGCUAGGUGAAGAUCCUUUGACCUGACAAGUUGUCCUUAUUUUUAUAAAUCUGGCAAGUAAUUGUUGAGCUGACUUCCUGCAAUGAAAUUUGCUUGUCAGUGGGAUCCCAGGGCAACAGGUUCCUCUGCUGUUGGUUUGAAACAUCCUUUUGAAGCACAAGGAGGUGGGGCUUUCUCUACAAUGGGUUUCCUGGCACCUGAUGCCCUUCCCUCAAAGUGGUGUGCAUGGGUGGAAGAAAGCUGAGCCAUGUAACUCUGGCUUAAAAUUAAAAGGCCGUGUCCCCCGCAGCAGCACCAGCGUUUUCAGUCACCUCUGAAGUUCAGCGAGGGCAUGAAUGGGUUUUGUUUCCCUCUGGGUUUCACGGAAAGCCAGGUCAUUUGUGCCCAGACACGGGGCUUGGUCGCUGAUGAUAAAUGGAUGCUGUGGAGGGAUGAGCCCAUGGGAAUAACUGCACUUCUCACACCGGGCUGGUGAAACUCCCCAUUUCU